AUUUACAAUUUAGUAGCACUAAAUGGACAAAGGCGUAUUUAACUAUAUAUUGGAUAAGUUGCAGGAAAGUAUGGGUAAUAUCUUCAUUCUUUGCAGUUUGUCAUGGAUUAAAUGAUAAAGGUCUGCAUGAUUUUGAAAAAAGAAAGAUUAUUAGCAAAUUAUUUGGGGGGGGGGGGCUGCAGCCCCCCCCAUUCCCCUCGGUUGCUACGGCCCUGUAAGGAUGUGUAACUGGAGGGGACAUAUUUAGCGGGGGGACAUAUUUAAAAUUUUGGAUUUCUUGAAGCUCAGAUAAGCUAUUUCCAGCACUUUGAGGAGUUUUCCAACAAGAAAUUAACCUUACACUAGUCCCUGGAAAUCAAACCAGCUGAUCUUCUGUGACUGGUCAAAUCGAUCCCUGCAACCAUGCUGUUUUGCAACAUUUUUUUUCCUACCAAAUAAUGGGGCAGGAUAUUUUUUCCCUCAGUUUGUUAGUGCAGGUAUUUUUUUGUUGUUCAGAAUAGCCAUGUAGGAAAUUUUUUUUCAAAAUCAUUCCCCCCCCCCUCAAAAGUUAAAUGAAUAAUAAAUUAUUUGAAUUGAGCCAAACAAAUUUCAAUAAAUGCCUCAAACAAAAUCAAACAAGUUCAAAGCUGUUUUGAUUUUUGAAGAAACUGUGGCAAUGAGAACACAAGAUCUAGAGCUUAAGAAAUGAAAAAUACAUGGGCAACCGAGUGUUCGCUCCAACGUUCUUCAUUGUUGGUAUGAAUAUGAAAUUCGUUGUUUAAUUUCUUUCCUGUUUCAAGUGAAAUCAGCGAGCGAGGAAGACGCCUUAUUGAAGCUUUGUGUUAUUGUAUGUACUAUUUUGGAGAAAAAUAUGCAAAUAGGUUGUCAUAUUUCGGUCGUACUUAAAGACCAAUUAAUUUUGAAAAUUGUUUAGGAUAAGAACCUUUCUUUAAUUUGUCGUAUUUUUUCGGCUGUUUUGCUCAAGUGUUUAUAUGAAAGUCUGGCUAUUUCACGAAACACUACAACCAAAAUAUGGCAACCUGUUUGGCCGUUUUUUGUUAAAAAUAGUGGAUACACAAGCUUCAUAAGGCGCUCUCCUCGGUUUGCAACAGGUCUGUCGCAAGGCCUGUUAAAAACAGCAUUGCUGCAGCUCUGUCACAACUUGC